AGCGCCUCGUGCCCGGCGUCCGUAGUCGCCGCAGCUCCCCUUGCUGGCCUCUUUCAUCUCCGACAGCGGUGGCAGGAGUCGGAUGCCGCUCCGGCGCAGCUGUCUCCAAGGGGCUCCGGCUCUCCGGUGAGAGAUCCUCACCUGGACGACGCCCCGCUUUCUCCAUGGUCUCCGUGCAUCGGCUCUUCGCAGCGGAGCCCGCUGCAGCAAGCCCGCCGACCCGGCCCUGGAGCUCGACGACGCCGAUGCCAUAUGGAGCGGAGGAGGCAUCCUCGCCGGUCGACGUGUAUGGACGCGCUCUGUCCAUGUUCACGCCCGCCUCCAGGGCUGCGCGCCGCCGCACUGUGGGAGGCCGUCGGUGGCGUUCGAGUUGGCGGACCGCGUAUGCCCGUGAACAUCCCGGACUGCAUAUGGCCGGUCCCCACUGCCGCUGAUCUCGAGCGCGUUGUCGGUGGCUGCUGCGGCGGUGUCCGUGCGUUACGCGUCGAGCUUGUGCCUGCAGGCGGCACAACUGCUGGUGGAUGGCGGUCGCUGGAUAGGGCUCUCAAAAAUGGUCAAGCUGUUCGCUCCCACAGGACACCCAAACUAGGCAAAAUUUACCUGGUUGCAGUAGCAGGAGGUGCCAAGGCUGGCGUUCACGCCGCAUCGAGCCAAGCAGCCAACAUAGAUUUUAAAGUCUGUUUAUGCAAUUCUAUGUGAUAAUGCACCAAAUUCUUUCCUGAUUUGCUUCGAGGCACUCAUGCCACAAUGAUACAUUGAUUGCUGCUACUGACCACUCAUUAUUUGAUGAAGGUGUAGUGCCAGGGAAUAAGCUUUAGGCUAUGCAUACUUUGGAAUGGUUGUGGCAGUGCAUCGGAUUGCCAGAGGUAUAGCACCAUGCCUGCUUCAAGCAACCAAUCGGUACCUGGAGUACCAAAUAAAGGUUCUCUAUGAGUGUGCCUGCUGUUGCGUCGUCGGCGGGUCCGUCCUGCUUCUUCGCUUCCUCCAGUUUUGCAGUGUUGUCAUGGCUUUGAAGAUGCAACUGCUGUGUCGCCGCUUUACCAUGCUGAUGAUACACGUCGAUCCGAGGCAGGUGAUAAUUAUAAUACUGCUGCUGAUUUUAAGAUAGAUUUUGUGUUCACAUGGUAACACAAACGUAGAUAGAUUCCAGUAUUCACAUUUGCUUUUAACGUCUCUUAUUCAAUGCUUAUUCUUAAUAACGCCAAAAUCGAAAUGCUGUCUAAACUAAAUUCCCUGACAUUUAUAUCUUGUUUAGGGACAUAUCUUGGAUAUGACGAUAUCAUAGAGUGACGAAGUUGGUGUUAGCAUCAGGAUUGUCUCAUGGUAUUUUCGAUGUGAAUCCAACAGUUGAAUACUAAUUGGAACGUUUAGGUGUACAUUCCUUAUACAAAAUUGCACAAAAUGGUACAUAGUCUCCUGAAAUUUUACAAGCAUAAUAAAUCUAAAUAUGAGAUAUUUUGUCCUUUUUCUUUUUUAUGUGCUCUUCCACAUUUCUAAUUUUGAAAAUUGCUAAGUAUUAUUUUAGCUUUAAUGCCAACUGCAUCCUUAUUCAUACCAUUCUUAGUAUUACCAGAUUCAGGAUUCUGUGUUUGGUUUCAUAAGGUCUCAUGACGUUGGUGCUUUGUUUUUACAAUAGAAGUACAUCAAGGUGUUGUGGUAGGAUAAUUAUCCUAACAUAGAGACCCUCUUUAAAGGAAUAAGGCAACCUUUAUUAUCGAGGCCCUACGUACACAAUUAUGGUAUGGAACUUUUUGUUUGCAGAAUGGUAGCAUGCUUAGCUCGAUGAAUUGCGAUCAAGGUUAUAGAAGACUUGAAUUGAUAAAAAUUUAUAAGCCAAGAAGAAACAUUAAGGUUAAAAUAUGUAUUCCAUAUGUGAAAACUAAAAAUCCUUGCACUCCUACUAUGUUGUGUUGUGAAAGCUUCAUGGCUUAACUCAUCAUUGUCUAAAUGUUCUAGCAGGGGGAUGCAUCUAAAUUUGCUGCGCACCUCAUCAUUAUCUAAAUGUUCUAGCAGGGGGAUGCAUCUAAAUUUACUGCGCACAGGUACUACAGACUAUAGAAGGAACGAUUGUACUGCAAGUGACCUUCGAUCAUUUUACUGAAAUUCUCUGGCGCCAGGUGUUGCCACAAAAUUCGACACUCCAUAAUGGCCUUCAUUCUUUUACUAGGUCUGUCCACUCAGCUUUGCUUCAUCAUCUGCUAUGUCAGUCUUUUUUAGUUAAGCUUAGUUGAACUUCUGACAGUUUUCGGCUUCCCUCGGACUCAAUCAGCUAGGAUUUCUAAAAAUUGCUCUCCAACUAGAUAAGUAGCCCUUUCUGUGGUACACAAAACUGCAUCUUUAAUAUAUUUAUUAAGUUACUUGGGUCAAUGCAUCAUGUGUGUAUGCCCUAACUAGAUAGCAGUACAUAAUUAUAUAUGGAAAAUAGUUUGUUAUCUAGCAGAUUAACUCUUCUAAGUACAUAUGGAUUUACCCAGGUUCCAUUGCAUAAUUCUCUUACUCUCCCUUAGCACAAGACCCCUCUUUCAAGAUGCAGGGUUUGAAAUGAAUUGAGACUCUUAAUAUUCUACUUGAUUCUAGCAGAAACUGAAGGCUUCCUACCAUGGUUGGGAUCUCCUAUCAUUGUUGGUUUGUUAUAUUUUGUUCCCAGAGUUACAUAUAGAGUUCAAUUUUCAUGUCUCAAGCACUGAAAUAAUUGGCAUGGGUGCAAACAACAAUUGCAUCCAGCAGCUGUGCAAUCAUGCAUUUUAGUACAGGAAAUAAUGAAGGAUUUACACCAAUUGGUCCAUUUGAGAACAAAACAACCCUGUCAGAAGAUGACAAAAAUCUACAAGCCAUACCUCAGAAAGAAAUCAUAGAACAAAUCCAUUUAGAGUUGGGAGAGAUAAACAAUAAUAACCAGAAAUUUAGUGCCGAGAAACUAUCUAAUGAAUUACUGUUUUCCCCACACAAGGAUACAAUCUCCAUAACAGAUGGCAAAAAAGGAAAGAAAAUCAAUACCAAGUGGUACAUCAACUAAAAAAAGGUAUGUGACUACUUAUUUCAUAUCAGUAUCACUAUUUACAACAGUAGUGCAAGCUUACGAAUCAUUCAUUGUCUGCAUAAAAUUCAUAAGAAGAAGGCCAGGAAAGAAUUAUUCUCGGCUAAAUAAAAAUAUUCACUUGGCCAGGUAAACAUACAUGACAUCUAUCAGUAAAUAAACUGAAUAUCAGGACAUAAUUUUAGCUUUUCUUUCUGGUAGCAAUUGUCUAAGUUUUGACUUUAUCAGGUCAAGCUGAUCUAAAUGAAAGAAAUAAAAGAUACUGGUCUCAAUGUAACAACCUUUACAUGGUAACAGUUACUGUGCAAAGCCCCUUACUAGAAAUAUAAUAUGUCUGUCUGCCACUGCCAAGCAUGGAUACUUCCUACAUGGUACAGUAUUAUGUAUAUGUGUAUCCAUGUAUAGUUAUCUUACUUAUCUCCAUUUGUUUAUCAGGGAUUACUACUAUGCUAUGUUUGCAGACGGAGGUUUCCUCACGCUUCACUCUUACAAGGUUUGCAUGAAAGGGCUGAUGGAAAAGAUAACCAAGUUGCCUCUUGAUUGAGAGCUGUGACGAACUGUUCAAGUGAUCCGA